GUUAAAUCCUACCUCCCCUUGCCCUUCCUCUUCUUCUUCCUCGGAUCUCUCCACGCGUUGCUUCAGGUUUUUUGUUUCUCGACGGGCUGACGUCAGAUGAUGUUUGCUAUUUGUUCUUCAUGCUUUAGCUUUUCACUCAUGUGAGUAUGCUGCCGUGGGAGAAACCAUCGCAAGACGAAAAAGAAAAAGAGAUACUUCAUCUUCUGAUACUUUUAUUGAUCCGGCUCAAGAAACCGCAACCAGUUCCAUGACCCCUAGCACCGUAUUCCUAGGUCAUUGUUUUGCUUGUUUUAUCUAUAGAAGAGUAUAGAAAAAAAAAAAUUAUGAGAGAUACAAUUGCAUCUAGAGGAGCCAACUUAGUAAACAAAUAAACUUAUUCCAAAUAACAUGGAGCACUUCUUUAUUUGCAUAUUUGAUAGGAAAUCUGAAAUUCUGCAACAAUAAAAUAGACAAAAGGAAACAUAAAUCAUUCAAUAUAAGUAUAACCAUGAUUUCCCCCUUUUUUGUGACUUGUGCUCAUUUAUUUAUUUCCCAUGAAGAGUAUAGAAAAAACUAGUUGAGUAGCUUAGCAACAUAUUGAUCACAACACAAUCAUAAACAACAAAAAUACAUUAAGAAAACAAAAAAUUUGCUUCCACAUUUCCAAGAUACAGCAGAUACCAUGGUAAAAAGAUACGGAAUGGUAUGGCUUUUAGUCUAAAUAUUAAUGUAUCAGUUCCAAAAACAUGGAAUGCUUUUAACUUAUUGAAGGAUGAGAUUUGUGAGGUCAUUGGAGAAAAUUCUUCCUUGUCAAUUAUUCAACUUAUUUCUUGUCUAUUAUUUGAUAAUGAGAAUAAAUAAUUUUGUUCAUUUUGAGUUGUCAAUGCUUCAUAGGCACACAAGUUAUUAGUGAGGAGGAACAAUACAAUGAAGGUUUGUCUCGGUGAUCUACAUUGACUGUGUUGGAGGAACUUGCUUCAAGUAUUUUCGUCGCACAUCAUAUCAUUGAAGCGACUAGCUCUGAUGUGAUCCAACAAAAAUCUGCCUGGCCCUAUUUUCACUCAAACAAAGGUCCAAAGAGAUGUUUAGAGCUUACAUCAAGAAAUUCAAUCAGGUAGUCUUGGACGUCUUCUCGGUCACCUUGGAAAUUCUUGUGAGCACUUUUUCUCUGGGACUCGCAUGUAAUGAUUUCUUUCGCUCUUUGAUCAGGAAGUCCCCAGAAACUUUGAUCAUCUACUUAGCCGAGUGAUCUAGUACAUCAAUAUUAAAGAAGUACGAUCCAUCCGAAAUAAAUAACUUAUCACAGUCGCACCGGCUCAGCUACCAGAGCCGAACACCCUAUCUCUGCGACUUUCUCACUCAUUGAUCUAAUUAAUGUAUCUUUUCUUUUCCUCUUUCAUUUCUCCCCAUGAAA